GAGAAAGAGCCUGAUGGUUCAUCGAACCCCCAAGAUACUGCGCCUGCAUCUGAAGAGAUUCAGGUGGGCAGGCAGGCUUCACCGAGAGAAGAUCAAGCACACGUGAAGUUUUGAGCACCGGCUGAACGUGUGGCCGUACUGCAACCCGGCGUCGACGGACGAGAGCUACGAGUAUGAGCUGAUGGGCGUCAUCAUGCACCACGGCCGCGGCUUCGGAUCCGGUCACUACACCUGCAACUGCUGGAACCCCAACGCCAACUCGUGGGUGCACUGCAACGAUGCGAGGCUGGAGCCAUGCUCCGUCGAUGAGGUCCUUCAGAGCCAGGCCUACAUUCUCUUUUACGCACGCGUCCCCACGCCGGUAGUCGCCGCCCCGCCGCCCGCUGCCAUCACCGCCGCGGU